rnacentral:rRNA from 1 species
AGUGAACGCUGGCGGUAGGCCUAACACAUGCAAGUCGAACGGCAGCACAGUAAGAGCUUGCUCUUACGGGUGGCGAGUGGCGGACGGGUGAGGAAUACAUCGGAAUCUACUUUUUCGUGGGGGAUAACGUAGGGAAACUUACGCUAAUACCGCAUACGACCUACGGGUGAAAGCAGGGGAUCUUCGGACCUUGCGCGAUUGAAUGAGCCGAUAUCGGAUUAGCUAGUUGGCGGGGUAAAGGCCCACCAAGGCGACGAUCCGUAGCUGGUCUGAGAGGAUGAUCAGCCACACUGGAACUGAGACACGGUCCAGACUCCUACGGGAGGCAGCAGUGGGGAAUAUUGGACAAUGGGCGCAAGCCUGAUCCAGCCAUACCGCGUGGGUGAAGAAGGCCUUCGGGUUGUAAAGCCCUUUUGUUGGGAAAGAAAAGCAGCAGGUUAAUACCCCGCUGUUCUGACGGUACCCAAAGAAUAAGCACCGGCUAACUUCGUGC